UUGUUGUCACUCGAUUUCUAAACGGUUCAAAUGACACGAUGCAGUGCGCCACAAAUCUUUUUCACGUUGGUGGACAUUCAUUGUCGUCACGUUUGUUAAUUCCCGUUUGUCUGACGCAGAUUUUAUUUUUAUUUUUUUAGCUAACGUAACGUUUUCGCUCUUCGAUGCGACAGAAGAAAACUGCUUCGCGUAACUAACAGGCAUACCUAUCAUGAGAUGAAGAUUUGCGCUGUUUCCUACUAUACAGCUGCUGAAGAGUCUGUAACUAGCCACGCCACUCAGCCAUGGAGGCUGCCGCCCGCCAUCCCCUCUGCAGCACCCGAGGACCAAGAGUGUGGAUCCACACUAGGUUGUACAACCUGGGUGCAAGUGAAAUUGAGAGACUAGGCGUGUCUGUGGUACUCUGGAAGCCUGCAUCUGAGGAGAAAUGUCCCCUCAGCACAGACCUGUUUUUCUGCCAGCUCUCAGCUCGAGGUGCAAAUUUUCCGUGCCACUGUUGCCGACCGCACAGAAAGAGCGUGGCUAUCAUGGUCCUGCAAGAUCUCUUAUCUCUGCACGAGCAUCGGGGCUUUGUGAUGAGCCACAGAGAUUUUCUGCAGCCGCCUGGAAGUGUUCGUUUUUCCCGCUCGGCCUCUAGAGAUAAGAUUCGUGUGACAGCGGAGGAAGUGCUCCCUUGCAGUGAGGGCGAGACCACUUCGAAAAUGUGGACUUUGUCCAAGGCACUGAUCUGCCAUUGGGGCUUCUUGUGUUGUUCAUUCCUGUCUGGUGUGUGCGUGUGCCUGCUUACGGUGGUAUUUAUACAACAGUGAAAUUGGGCUGUUGCAGUAAAUGUGUGAGUUGUGUAAGCACAGAUAACUGCUAAGCAUUAAAUAAGUGACCUGAUUACAUGGAUAGAUACAAAGACUUUAUGUUGAGUGGGAACAGCAUGUGAAGAGAAUGAUUAUCAUUGUAAUGAUUGCUUCACUUAGCAGCAGCAGGUCUUGAAACAUUGGCCAUCAUGGACCAGAUUGCAGGUUAUUGGGCACACCUUUGGAAUAAUUCUGGUCAUCGCAUUGAAGAUCCAAGAAGUGCACAGCAGCAUACAUGUCAACUGAUAUCAACACAUGUAAUGUGCUGUGGGUGAUCUGAACUUCCGCCGCCACCACUGACAACUGAACAAGUGGGCCUGAUCUGCAUAUACGAAGGAAGUUACUCUGCUAGCCACGUAAGGAGCAAAUAGUGUUUCUGUAGACUCAAAUAACUGCAAUUAAACGCCUACACAACAAAAGCCCCUACAAAGAAAUGACCUGUAUAACGAAAAAUUCAUUAUAACCCGACUGAAUUCCAAUCUUUCAUAUGUACUGAGAAUGCUUCUACAAUGAAGGCCACUAAUAACGAAUAUUCCUCCAUAACGAGGGAAUUUAGGCAUCCACAAUGGCUGAUUUGUUGGUUUGCAGCGGACACUGCACGGGAUACCACCAUUGCCCUGCGCAGAUGCCACUGAGCUGCACUCUGCGGCACCGCUAAUGACAGCUUUAACAAUGCACCUGACAAGUGCACUGAUGCCAGGGAGUGUUGCAGUCCUGUGGCACUUUUUUAAACCAAGUCAUUUAGAACCCGUGUCAAUGAAACAAUGGGCAUUUGAGAGUCAAGCAUGUUAACCACUAAGCUACUGCGGAACAAUAGUGCUGAAAAAUUAGUGCAAGUUAACUUUGUGCUCCACACUGACUCUGAGAGCAGUGGUGUCUGUGCAUGUAUUUCGGAGGCCAGAACGAGCAAUACUGCAGUGGAUGAAAAUUACAUUAAUGUGUAUAGGGACUGAGGUUAAGUCCGCUACAACAAUGUGUGAGUCAGCGAGCGAAAGGCCUGGGAACCAUUCGGACUGAUGGCAGGAGCUGAAGAAGCUCGUUUUUUAAUUAUUCUUCUUCUGACCUCGCGGCUCACAGCACGAGGCACGAGACGCACACGCCGGAGCAUGCCAUAUUAGAAAGUGGCCGAGAAAGAUGACAAUGGGUGCUACAGGGCACAGACUUGCAUUGCAGCACCGUCAUUUUGAAGUCAUCAUAGGGGGUUCUGUAAUAGGGUGCGUCCAUAAUGUCUUGGAACUCCCCAACCACCUCUGGAGGGAGUGCCGAGACAGCGUGAAGGAACCUUGCGCGCUGCGAGGUAAUGCGCCAAAGGUCAAAGAUGGCCUCCACCUGAGUAAACCAGGCUGCAGGAUUUUGUAGCCAAAAAGGUCGGCAGGUGAAUGUGCACUGUGGCGAGGCCCUCUGCACUGGUUGUCAGUCUCUCGUUUGUGGCCUCAUCCAGGACGUUGUGCUUACCGUACAUGCAUGUCUGGGUCACUACAUUAUAGGGACUGAGGUUGGGUCCACUACAACAAUGGUUUAGUCAGCGAGCGAAAGGCCUGAGAACCAUUUGGACCGAUGGCAGAAGCCGAAGAAGCUCUUUUUUUUUAUUCUUCUGACCUUGUGGCUCACAGCACGAUGCACGAGAUACACACGCUGGAGCACGCCAUAUGUGAAAGGUGGCCGAGGAGGAUGAGGAUGGUUGCUAGAGUGUGUUCACCCAUUACGAGGAACUGGACAAGAACCCAGUGGUUAUAGGGUGGUUUGUUUGGAGGGAAGGGGUGGGGUCAUAUAAAUAAGUAUUAUUUAAAGUAAGAAUUUGGAAGAAAAAGAAUAAUAAUGCAGUGGACAAGGAUGGGCAUUGUAUAGAAAUUGUUCUUGACAAGAUGGGGGUAAGUUUGUGUGUAAUUCUUCAUUGUGAUGUUCGUGAAAACAGCGUCAGCAGCACAAGGAAGGUGGACAUGGCAGUGAUGGUUAUAAGUGUACAUAUUGCCAUAUUUUAUUGUCGGUGAAGAGCGAAAGUAGUAAAACGCAAGUCAUGAAGCUUACUGUUUAUUGUGCGAACCUGUGCCGAGCAAGACAAGUAACACUCAGCAUAAUGAUACUGGCAAGCACACUCGUCGGUCGUCAAAAUCUGGUGUGCAGAUCAGGUGGGCCAGUUGUUUAUCAUACAUGACUCUUAUACAUUAUACAUUUAUACAUACAGUGUUUUCGCUGGUGCUCACUUAAGUUCUAGAACAUGCACCACUAUUCACAAACAGAAUUUGACUACACAAGGCUUGGCAACAGCUUAGACAGAUAGAACCAUUGAUAACAUUUGAGAAACUUCCUGUACAGAAAGGCACGUCUUGCACUAGGUGAUAACCUUGCACAUUUGUUAGCUGGUGAGAAAUGGUCAGCAGGAAAGAUGAAUAAGUAUUUGUGGCAAUAUUCACUAUAGAGGACAAGCUCAGAGUAUGGAUGUCAACUGGAAACAAUGUUGAUGCCGACAGCAAUGUUGCAGCAACGUCACCUAGUUUACACAACAGCUCACAGAAUUCAGAAGUACGAAGUGCACUAUAUAGCAGUUAUUACAAAAAUAAAACAGCACAGAAGCAAGAACGGGGACCAAAGAAAGAUAGCACCACAGUUUGGUCCCCGUUCUUGCUUGUGCUUUUGUGCUUUGUUUUAUUUUUGUACUGUUUCACCAACAAGCCCAGGCCUCCAGUAUUCUAUAUGUCAGUCUUGCACGUGUAAAGCAAAAAUUAUGUUGCUAAAAUCGUGUAGGUGGCACUGUGUCAUUUUGCACAUGACAUCAGCUGUAGUAUCUUUGCUCUCAGGGUUGAAUAAUCCCCAGGCAGGACCUUCAGCCUUUAACAAGCAUUUAACAUGCAACUGGCUCUUCCCCUGAAGCCCAUAUAUUUGUUUACCCAAAAACUUAAUUUAAAUAUGGCAGGCAAGGGAAAAUAAAAUGGUGGUCUUCACAGAGGGAAAAUGCUGCUGUCACAGUAAAUGAGUUCAGAGCUGAAAGUAUCACUGCAGUCUACUGCUGCUUUACUAAGCGACCGUGCGCCUGCUACCCUGACUGCUGUGAUGCUGUGAAGGCCGGACAACCUAUGUGAUCGCCAGUAUCCAUCUCUACAGGAGUUCUAAGAAUGCAUUAGAGAUGUGGCAGGAAGAGAGAGAGAGAGAGACAACUUUAUUCGUCAGAGUGGAGAGCUAAUUCAUGGGCUCAUCAGGUAGGCCAGGUGGCCGCCAGGCAUUGCGUGACGGCGACCUCUUCGGCUCUCUCCACGGCUUGGAGUUCAUCCGGACUGUAGUUAAGCAGCACUUGCUCCUGCAAUAAAGGUGAGGGAGAGGCUAGGAAAUUGGGGGGAGGGGGUCCUCCUCACAGUCUCAGAGGAUGUGACUGAGUGUAGCUAGCUUGCCGCACAGGCGACAGUACGGACUUACUCUGUCCGGGUAAAUGCAUGGGUAUACGUAUGGGUUCGGGUGUGAGUGGGUCUGUAACCUGCGCCAGGUGAUCUCCUGACCCUUGUUUAGUUUACUGUGUGGUGCGGGCCUAGUGUGUUGUGUAAGACGGUAAUAUUGGGUUAUGUCACGAUAUGAGUGCAGGACUUCAUUUGAGGUCUUCGGUUCCAGCAGGCUCUCUGCUCGGCUGACAAAUCCUCGAGCAUGUUGGAGGGCCACUUCGUUCCCUGGAUUCCCCGCGUGAGCCGGGACCCAUAUCAACUCUAUUGAGCGUGGUUCUUCGCUGUUGUGUAGUGACUGUGGGAGCUUUAGUGUGGUCUGUGCCACUAUUCCUCACGCAAAGUUUGUUAUGGCGGUUUUUGGAGUCGCUCAUAACUAUAAAAAUGUGUGUUGAGCAAUGGCACAAUGGUGGCUUAUUCUGCUUCAGUGGGGGUGGCAGCAUGUAGAGAGCUUGAAGCUGUUUGUGCCUCGAGUCCUGGGCCUGGAACAGUGCAAAUGGUGUAGGUGUAGGGUCGACUAGAGUACUGGACUGCGUCGACCUACAUCACGGCAGAGUUGGUACCGUACAUCUUGUGCAGGGCCUGGGCCCUCGCUCUUCUUCUGCCAUCAUGAUGGCCGGCUAGUGUGGUUUUGGGCAGCAGUUUGAUGACGAACAUGCCCCUUAUGUGUGGUGGGAUGGUGGCGGGGUCACUGCUCAUCGGGGACACUCUGAGGUCCGUUCGAGUGAGGAUCCAGUGGCCGGUCUUGCUACCUUGAAGACGAUGAACCUGUGAUGUGCGGUGUGCUUCAAUGAGUUCAUCGGUGGUUUUGUGAACUCCCAGUUGAAGAAGUUUCUCGAUGGAUGUGUGUCCCGGUAAGCCGAGGGCUAUCUUGUAUGCGUGUCGUAUAAUGCAGUCGAGGCAAGCUCGUUCUCCCUUCUGUAACUAGGUAUGGUAGUGUAUAGGUGAGACAGCUGACGACAAAGGCCUGGACUAGUUGGAGCAGGUCCUUCUUGAUGCCUUGCUUACGCACACUCACUCUGUGUAGCAGUCUCGUGGUCUGGUUCACCAUCAUCUGGAGCCAGUCAAUGGUGAUGCCGUUCUGCCGGUUCUGCUAUAGUAUCAUGCCCAGCACUCGCAUGUGCUCAACGGGGGUGACUGGCAGCCGUUUUAUGCAUAUCGUGAUGGAAGGUGGGGGUGACAGUGCUUGCUUUGGUUGUGUGGCCGGAUCAGGAGGAGUUCCGACUUGUGCUGAGAGCACUCUAGUCCCACUGCAUUCACGUGUUGUACGACAAUGUCACUGGCAUGUUGGAGCGUUUUUUCAACUGUGUCAUCCAACCAUUCACACGUCCAGAGCGUGAUGUCGUCGGCAUAUAGCGUGUGUCUGAGUCCCAGGACUUCAUUCAGUUUUGGAGGCAGGGUGUGCAUUUCUAGGUUGAACAGGAAUGGUGAGAAGACUGCGCCUUGCGGCGUGCCUUUGUCCCCGAGCCGAAUUACAGGUGAGCGCAGGUCCCCGACCGUCCUGUCUGUGAGGAAUGACCUGAUAUAGUUGUAGGUUUGUUCACCGGGUUGCAAGUCGGCUAAGCUCUCGAGCAUGCCAAAGCGUCCCCAUGCCAAAGCCACAUGCUGUCGGGGUGUGCAUGCACAGGACUUCUAAGCACUUGUACAUAUAGCUAGAGCUGUAAAAUAGUCUAAUCCUGCAUUCACUGGGAACCUGCUUUGCUGUUUACAUUAUUUAUUUGUCGGAUACUGUCAGCUGCAUUUUGGCAGCCAUGACAGGAAUGGCUGCAUCAGCUUUAAUUCAAAGAAGAUAAAGUACGCAACAGAGACAUUCAAGUUCACAAAGGAGGCAUUAAGGAAAUUGUUGAAAAAACAAAUAAACCCCGUGCAACCAUCCAAUCAGCGUAGGGCUCCUACAUUCGCAAAGUGGUAGUUUUCCAAAACAAUAUUCAUGCACAACACACUGAAUAAGCACAAGUAAAAGGAAAGAAAACCGUCAAAGGCUAACAUUAAUUUGAUUAAAGCUAUAAACACAGGUGUAAAAGAACAUUCAUGUUGAAGGUUACAGAUUAGGUUCAUAUUGCCGAAAUGAAACAAAAGCCAAGAGGAAGAAAGGUCAGAGACGGCACCCCCGAAGAAGGUUUGUAACUGCAUUACGUGACAAAUUCAUGGAACUGUGCCUCAAGGGCCACGCACUGCAAAAGCAAAACAUUUCAGAGAAGUUCCCUAUGAUGAAUAAAAAGGCGAUAAUAAUGUGCGUACAAUGGAAGCCACAUGCAUCAAUGCUGGAAUAAGUGCCCACCGCGAUGCAAACAUCAUUGACAUGACACAUUGUAGGCAUGUGUGAUGCACUGCAUUGAUAUAAGGUAUGCUUGUCAUUAGUGAAGUUGCAAUGGAUUCCUUCCCACAUUGGUAUUGCUGGCAAUGAAAAAGCUUAUGCUCUUGCACAGUUCAUGUUCUUUAAUCCUUCUAAAGUCAAAGCCCCGAAGAGUAAUCAAGGUACAAAAUCUGACGUCCGUACUCACUUUCAGUCGCUUUGGUUUCCACAUGUGCCCUACAAGACCAAGUGAUUUCAUCGAGAAGAAGCAUCACUUCUAUAUCGAAUAAGGACAGGAUCUACUCUUGUACCAGCAUGGUUAUAUAAGAUAGAGCUUAUUGGUUUUCUAAACUAUACUGUAUACGAUGAGACAAAAAACUUGGAACACUUUGUGUUGUUAUGCCUAAAAUACAGAGGUGAAAGGGGUGCUCUUCUUGAGAACUGCAAAAGAAAGACCUUCUGCAGCACUUUGUGUUCCAAGAAGGGUCAGUUAUCGCCCGCAAGGAAGCUUCACAUCUUCUUGGACUCCCAAGAGAGACUGGACAUACAGCAUUCUACCUAUUUAGAUACAGUGGUGGCUAUCCCCUUGUCAACAUUCUUGGGUAUUUGUGCAUGUGCACAAAUCUGACAUUGAGACUAUUAGCCUGAGCCACUCACAGCCACGUGCUGCCUGUGUGGAACAUCCCUUCAACCACAAACGUCACGUAUUUGUGUGAGAAAAUAUAUGAAAUCUUACAGCAUGGUCAUGACGUUAAAGAGACUGUAAUAUUUGUCAAGGGCUUCCUAUUUUGUAGCACAACAAAAAGUCUAGCACUCAAAGUGUUUAAACUUGCAAUGGUUUCUUUGGAAAGCUAGUAGAAGUUAUUAAAAGAUAAUUUUUUGACCUUCAUAGUUUCUUUCUCAAACUGUGUACGGAUGCUUGCAGCACCUAUUACCAGAUGCGAUGGCAAUGCCAUGCUGGUAAACUUGAGAAACUGGAAGUGCAAAGCACUUCUGCAGGAAUUGCUUCUUUGUGUUAAACACACAAAUUAUGACCCUAAUUGCCAUCCUUGGUUCAUAAUCGGUUGCAUGUCACAUUGUAGUGACGUUGAAAAACAGUAGCAAGAACUGUGAAUCAUGAAAGUAACUCUUUAUUGGGCGAACCUGUGCCCUGAAAAGCGAAUUACACUUGUAGCACAAUGGUAGCGGUGAGUACAGUCGGCGAUCAUUGAAAAUCUGAUCAGCAGGUCAAGUGCAUCAGCUUUUAUACAUGACUCGUCAAAGGUUCCAGCACAAUCACUGCUGCCCAUGUGCCUUCCAAAAAGUACUACAUAAUUCGCACGGCACAUACUAUCAGAUUGCACAAAAUUCGGUGACAACAGACAAUGGGUAGAAUUACUGAUAACAUUAGAGGAACUUCCGAUACACACAGGCGUGUCCUACACUGAGCAAUUGUGAUUAACAUUUGUUAGCCAGUGAAAAGCAUUCACCGGAAAAACGUAAACAAGUACACGUGUGAAUAAGUUAUUGGUUGUUGUUUUUUCUGAGUCAUCCGUUUCCUACAGGCUCUGGCGCUGUAGUUUGUGUCUUCGUUUGGCACUGCUGCCGAAAUCGAAGCCUCUUAUGCAGCUACAUUGUGGUGAGGCAUGCCUAUGCUGGUGUUGUGGUGAUGCCAGCACGCCUUAAAAGUACAACACAUUUUCAACAACCUGAAAAACACAGCGACCCUCGCGCCACUUCCAGAACACUGCUCACACUUUUGCACAUCGCCAUGUGAAGAGGGCACACUCGAGGACUCGCUCGCACACCACUACAUUCGUCUGCACGAAGACGAUGCCACUUUCCAACACGUGCUAACUCGAAAUAGGAAAGAAAUGACUCUCUGAUGCAAAGAAAAGUACCAGAAGGGCAUAAAAUACAACAUUAAGCAAUGCAUCAACGUAUCAAAACAGAAUAAUUGUUCCUACAUGGGCUUUAGGUCACGUGAUGGUAUACUGUUUGGUUUACACUGUUUCUUUUUUUUUUUUUCACUAUUUUUACACCAUGUCAUUGUUGCACCACUUUCAGGCCCGAUUUGGAGAUAUAUUUUCUAUAUAGAAUAAAAGCAUUCUUGUUUACAUCAAUGUGACAUACAAUCUUCUCAUUCCACCACUCAUUCCAACCACAUUCCAAAAUCUUGUUCUGGAUGGUAGACAGUUCAAUUAGAUGGUGUUGGUUGGAAGUCGUUAUUCACUCACAUCCUUACAGCCAUUGAUCCAGCUUCUGAUGUUCACAGAGGGUGAAAGGCAAGGUCCAGAUGCAGGUCACAGCAUGUUAAGCUGUGUGAUCCAUAUGCUUGUUAUUGCCUGCCAGUGGGCAGGUUUUUGGGCAGAGUCAAACUACUGAUUCCUAACGGGGUGUUACACAUUGCCAGUUACCCAUUUAGACUUGUAACGGGCAUGUGCUUUGCUGGUUAGCCAAUCAUUUCCAGAAAAACAAAUAAAAUACUUGUAAUAAUGUGUACUGGGUUGACAGAUUUGACUGCCGACUUCCCAAACAUUCAUUUGUAUGAAAGUGUAGAAGCAAAAUCUUUUUCUUUUCCUGAUUUCUUUCAUGUAUGCGUGCGUGCAGUGUCUGAAAGGAGUGAAUGAUGGGGGAUAGCCUUUCUUUAUUGUUACUCUCUGAUACUCUGCUAAUAAACAAAUGACUUGUUUGAAAAUUGUUGCAUUCAAGUUUGUCCCAAACUUUGGUGUUCUGAGUGUGUAGCUACCUUUGACAAUAGCGUAUCUAGCGCUGUCUUUGUGCUCCUCCCUUCCUUCUUUCCAGUCCCCAGGUUUUUCAGUGGGACAACAGUAGUAACCUCAUUGCUUCGACUGAGAAUUAAGCAAAUAAAGGCUAGGAAAUUUCCCACCAAGAAAAAGAGAAGGGGUAAAGAGGCAGCCUAGGUGCUAUUGCAUAACAUACACUUACAGCCAUAUAAAGAAAACAGACAAUUAUCCAUUUUCAUCAUAUAUAUAUAACUAAAUUGAGCGUGUCAGAUUCCCUUAUUAUUCUCACUUGUUACGGAAGUGUACAAGCAUGUACGAAGGUAACUGACCCCCCAGCACUGUCCAAGCUGCAAUUAGGCAUUGGUUGAAGGAACAGUUGAGGUGCAGUUAUAUGCCUGGAGAAUGCCCUCAAGUAGAAUCAGCGAUGCCAUCUUUGCAGCUGAUGCAAAAAUUAAGGCCAAUAUUGACGGGAGCGGUUGUUACUGAUACACACAUAAGUGUAAAUGCUUGCCUCAGUUACAGCCAAUCUGAAAUUUGCUUCAGGUCAUAGUUAUUCCUGUACUAUUUCAUUUCUGAAGCAACGUUUAUGACACAAUUGUUCCAUGUUUUGCAGUCGAGCCUGGUGCUUAAGCCACUGUUUUGCACACUUUCAGUGGUCAUGUUUUUAUGUGUUUAUGCUCGCAUGUGUAGCAGUUACAUGUUCAAUUUGUGGAUGGCCACUUGCUUGCUCUUCCCCUUUUCUGCUGGUGAAUGUCCCGGCCCCUUACCAGGUCUGGCCAUAUUCAGCUGACAAGUGCAGAGCAUACAUUGUGCGAUAACGAUCGUGUCGGCAAAGUAUUACAUCGCUACGUGACGUGCAAAGGUCUGAAAUUUCAAACCGAACGCCGAUUUUCCUUCUCCUCACGGCCACCACGCUCCAAGCUGGAGGUUGACGUACUUGUGUGCCUGCGCCUACGUACUGGUGUCCGCAGUGUGACGUUGCUCGUGGUGACACGUGACUUCGAAAAUUAUUCAAGACAACAUCUGUUAUCUGUUUGAUCUGCUGCUUGAAUUGACAAAUCGAAGUUUAGAGAAAUAAUAAAACACACAAAUGAA